AUUGAACGCUGGCGGCAGGCCUAACACAUGCAAGUCGAGCGGAGCGGCGGACGGGUGAGUAAUGCCUAUGAAUCUGCCUGGUCGUGGGGGAUAACGUCCGGAAACGGGCGGUAAUACCGCAUACUAUCAGAUGAGCCUAGGUCGGAUUAGCUAGUUUGUGGGGUAAAGGCCUACCAAGGCGACGAUCCCUAACUGGUCUGAGAGGAUGAUCAGUCACACUGUAACUGAGAAACGGUCCAGACUCCUACGGGAGGCAGCAGUGGGGAAUAUUGGAAAAUGGACGAAAGCCUGAUCCAGCCAUGCCGCGUGUAAGAAGAAGGUCAACGGGUUGUAAAGCACUUUAAGUUGGGAGGCGUUACCAACAGAAUAAGAACCGGCUAACUCCGUGCCAGCAGCCGCGGUAAUUC
rnacentral:rRNA from 1 species